rnacentral:rRNA from 1 species
CCUACGGGGGGCUGCAGUGGGGAAUAUUGGACAAUGGGGGCAACCCUGAUCCAGCCAUGCCGCGUGUGUGAAGAAGGCCCUCGGGUUGUAAAGCACUUUCAGUGGGGAAGAACGCCUGGUGGUUAAUACCCAUCAGGAAAGACAUCACUCACAGAAGAAGCACCGGCUAACUCCGUGCCAGCAGCCGCGGUAAUACGGAGGGUGCGAGCGUUAAUCGGAAUUACUGGGCGUAAAGCGCGCGUAGGUGGCUUGAUAAGCCGGUUGUGAAAGCCCCGGGCUCAACCUGGGAACGGCAUCCGGAACUGUCAAGCUAGAGUGCAGGAGAGGAAGGUAGAAUUCCCGGUGUAGCGGUGAAAUGCGUAGAGAUCGGGAGGAAUACCAGUGGCGAAGGCGGCCUUCUGGACUGACACUGACACUGAGGUGCGAAAGCGUGGGUAGCAAACAGGAUUAGAUACCCUUGUAGUC